CUUACAGAAUCAGACAAAUCCGCGUAACCACUAGGCUGUUAACCUUGGCUUUCUCCAAUUCCGUAGGUUGCGUAGCAAGUAUCACAACACUUUAGGACUUGAUGUAGGUUGUUCCGCGCUUAGCAGAGGUGAAGCUUAUCGACUACGUAGCAUGUCGGCAGUAGAUAAAACUUCAUAUAUGCGUGCUAGCUUGUUUAACCUUUCACAAGAAUGUGCGAUUAUAUAAGUCUAGCGCGGUUUUA
rnacentral:lncRNA from 1 species